CGUAACCAAAAACCCGGUUCCUUUUUGAUUGGAAGGAUUUGUAUGGAAAGCCUAGUAUACUACUUCAAGUAGGACUGGGUGGUAUACCGUAUUUUACUAUAUACCGGUAUUGAUGCACGGACCGGUUUGGGUUUUUACUUUACCUUCAAUAACGGUAUUUGAAUGUUUGGUUUGUUAAAUGUGAUAUGCCGUGUGUAACGUCCAUUUUUAUAGUUUACACCGCUACUUGAGUCAUUCCUCUCUGCUCUCUCCAUCCCGCUUUCCACACAGACCUAGCCCCACCCACUGUCACUCAAGGAGCGCAUUUGUUGUUGCUUGACCAAGAGACACUUGCGUUCAGUCGGCAUGGUCAAUGCAGCACAUCAUGCAACAACGUUGCUAACUCUGCUUCUGAAUAUAAAUCGACAAGCGUUCCAUGAUUACACUAUUAGGUUGUGUUUUUUACAUCUGCAAACAGGUGUCGCCCAUCUUCCCCUUUAUCCACAGUGUAUUUAUACCUGUGUUCUCUGUUUGUCUGUUGCCAGUUAGUUUUGUUCGUCAAGCCAACCAGCGUUUUCCCCCUUGCUCCUGUCUGUUUCCAGUUCCUGUUUUCUAGUUUUCCCGGUUUUGACCAUUCUGCCUGCCCUGACCCUGAGCCUGCCUGCCAUUCUGUACCUUGUCACAUCACACUGGAUUAUUGACCUAUGUCUGCCCUGACCCUGAGACUGCCUGCCGUUCUGUACCUUUUAGACUCUGAUCUGGAUUACCGACGUCUGCAUGCCGUUGACCUGUCAUUUUGCCUGCCCCCUGUUCUAUUAAUAGACUGUUGUUAAUUCGACACUGUCUGCAUCUGGGUCAUGCCUAAAACGUGAUACCAUGACAGACUGACCAGGUGAAUCCAGGUGAAAGCUAUGAUCCCUUAUUGAUGUCACUUGUUAAAUCCACUUCAAUCAGUGUAGAUUAAGGGGAGGAGACAGGUUAAAGAAGGAUUUUUAAGCCUUAAGACAAUUGAGACAUGAAUUGUGUAUAUGUGCCAUUCAGAAGGUGAAUGGGCAAGAAAAAAGAUUUAAGUGCCUUUGAACGGGGUAUGGUAGUAGAUUCCAGACGCACCGGUUUGUGUCAAGAACUGCAAUGCUGCUGGGUUUUUCACGCUAAACAGUUUCCUGUGUGUAUCAAGAAUGAUCCACAACCCAAAGGACAUCCAGACAACUUGAUGCAACUAUGGGAAGCAUUGGAGUCAACAUGGGCCAGCAUCCCUGUGGAACGCUUUUGACAUUUUGUAGUCCAUUCCCUGAUGAAUUGAGGCUGUUCUGAGGGCAAAAGGGGGGUGCAACUUAAUACUAAGAAUGUGUUCCUAAUGUUUGGUAUGCUCAGUGUAAUUAGCAUAUGAAUGUCAAUAGUUGCUGUAUGGGUUUGGCAGUGUUAACAUUAAAAGUGAAUAACUUCGACAAUAUGUCUGAAAUAAAUGAGUCAGGACAGCGUUUUUUCCCCCGUUCUUCAUAUGCAAUCCAAAAAUAGUCAGGAAUAAGUCAAUGCUAGCUCACCAUCUGGUAAUUGAUGAGAACUUGUACGUUGAAAUAUUUAUAAUAUUCAUGAAUAUCAGUUUUGUAAAUUCAGACUUCAUUUGACGAGUAAAUAAUAAAGAGAGCAUACAUGUG